GACGAACGCUGGCGGUGUGCUUAACACAUGCAAGUCGAACGGAAAGGCCCUGCUUUUGUGGGGUGCUCGAGUGGCGACCGGGUGAGUUACACGUGAGUAACCUGCACUUGACUUUGAGGGAACUUCAGGCAACUGGGGCUAAUACCGGAUAGGAGCUCCUGCUGCAUGGUGGGGGUUGGAAAGUUUCGGCGGUUGGGGAUGGACUCGCGGCUUAUCAGCCUGUUGGUGGGUUAGUGGCUUACCAAGGCUUUGACGGGUAGCCGGCCUGAGAGGGUGACCGGCGACAUAGGGACUGAGAUACGGCCCAGACUCGUACGGGGGGGAGCAGUGUGGAGUAUUGCACGAUGGGCGGAAGAGUGAUGCAGCAACGUCGCGUGUGGGAGAACGGCCUUCGGGUUGUAAACCGCUCUCGCCUGAGACGAAGCGUGAGUGACGGUAACGGGUAAAGAAGCACCGGCUAACUACGUG
rnacentral:rRNA from 1 species